CCUACGGGAGGCUGCAGUGAGGAAUAUUGGGCAAUGCCCGCAAGGGUGACCCAGCAACGCCGCGUGGAGGAUGAAGGCCGUAAGGUUGUAAACUCCUGUUAGAGGAGAAGAAUAGUACCGAUUGGAUCGGUAUUUGACUGUACCCUCAGAGAAAGCCCCGGCUAACUACGUGCCAGCAGCCGCGGUAAUACGUAGGGGGCAAGCGUUGUCCGGAGUUACUGGGUGGAAAGCGCGCGCGCAAGUCAGAGCAGAAAUCCUACAGCUUAACUGUAGAACUGCCGUUGAUACUGUUAUUCUUGAGUUCGGGAGAGAGAGACGGAAUGCCAGGUGUAGUGGUGAAAUACGUAGAUAUCUGGAAGAACACCAGUUGCGAAGGCGGUCUCUUGGUCCGAUACUGACGCUGAGGCGCGAAAGCGUGGGGAGCAAACAGGAUUAGAUACCCCAGUAGUC
rnacentral:rRNA from 1 species